rnacentral:rRNA from 1 species
UAGUCCACGCCGUAAACGAUGUCAACUAGCCGUCGGGCUCAUUAUAAGGGUUUGGUGGCGCAGCUAACGCGCUAAGUUGACCGCCUGGGGAGUACGCCGGCAACGGUAAAACUCAAAGGAAUUGACGGGGCCCGCACAAGCGGUGGAGCAUGUGGUUUAAUUCGAUGUAACGCGAAGAACCUUACCUACCCUUGACAUCCUCAGAACUUGUUAGAGAUAACUUGGUGCCUUCGGGAACUGAGAGACAGGUGCUGCAUGGCUGUCGUCAGCUCGUGUCGUGAGAUGUUGGGUUAAGUCCCGCAACGAGCGAAACCCUUAUCUUUAGUUGCCAGCGCGUAAUGGCGGGGACUCUAGAGAGACUGCCGGUGUUAAACCGGAGGAAGGUGGGGAUGACGUCAAGUCCUCAUGGCCUUUAUGACCAGGGGCUGCACACGUCCUACAAUG